UAAACUAUAAAGUCGUCGUGUCAGCGACACCAAAAUUGCCGUGGUCAGCAGCAGAUGACGUCAAAUAACUAGUAUUUAGAAUACAUUUGGAAAAUGUGGAUCGAAGAUAAAACGUCACUUAGGAGAGAAUUGUUUAAAAGGAAAAUAAGUUAAAACGAGAGAGUCAGUCGGAAAAGGAGUUUGUACCGUCAAUUUAUUUUCGUAGCGUCAUGCUCGGGUGAACACAGUAUCAACGACGCUGCGUUGCUGAGAUAAAUAAAAGGGGAAUUCCCAGGAAUGUCACUAUACGAAUAUGAAAAUUAGUUUUGAAGUUAAGGCUACAUAAAUGAAAUGAGAUCAGGGCAGUAGAAUUAAAUAUAUGAAAGAUUACGCAAUAAUGAAUCGUAAAGAAGAAAUUUAGGACAUCAAAGCUUGUGUAAUAAAGGUGAAAAUAUUCAACAACAAUGAAAAGGAAUGAUAUGCAGCAAUAAAAGCAUCACAUUUGCAAAACUGGCAUCAAGAACCCUAUCAGAAAUGACCAACCUGGGGACUGGCAAAUUACUGAAUGUUAUAAGCAUUGAGUAUUUACUCUGGACUCAAGCACAUUAUGAGACUUAUCACUAUCGAGGAGGUUUGUGUCGUCGGCGAACAAUUUUGAUAAUAGUGUGGAACUGCGUGAGAGAUCAUUGAUAUAGAUCAGAAACAGAGUCGGCCCCAAGCACGAACCCUGGGGGACCCCGUGGGUGACAGAUUUAAAGAUUGGAAUUACCCUGGCGAUUUUCAGUGAGGAUGGAUAUAUUCCUAUUCGAAGUGAAUUAUUGAAGAACUCUGUUAGACAAGGUGCUAUGAUGUCUGCUACAUACUUGAGGAAACGACUGGGAAUAUUGUCAGCGCCAACCGCUUUCCUCUCAUUCAGACUUACUAUUUCCGUGAUCAAUUCAUUCACUGUUGCUGGACUUAGGAAUAUUGAUUGAUUUACACGUCUGCCAAGAAAUGAU